AAUUAGAGUAUUCUCAUGUUGCCACGUGUAUCCUCUCUUUAAAAGUCGUAUGCCUUCUUUUUUCUUUUUAAAUGGGCUUUCAACAAAAUUUCUAAUUAGUAGGUAACUGAUACUACUCUCUGGGCCGAAAUCAAACAAAUGUUAGGUCCAUCUUGCCUACAUCUUUCUAGGUUCAUCGGUUCAUCAAAGAUUUGCUUCCGUUCCCCCAACAAUGGCGGUUCUGAAAUUCCGAUCGACGCUUUGUGAGUAAUCGCCAAGUUGGUGACGUUUCGGUCUCUAUUCCUCACCUUCGAACCGUUACCAAUCGACUUAAUUGAACGUCAUUAACCAAUACUUAACUUCUCAUGCCCACUACAACCAAGAUUUUGCAGUCAAUGAUUCUUACAAUUCAUCCCGUCGGUGAUUCUCAUCUAUAAAAAGGAUCUCUAAAGCUAAAGUUGUCUUCCUCUUGGAUACUCUAAUGUAACAUGCUCGAGGUCGUCGCCGCCGGCGAAGUGCUUACCGUGUCACCAUUUGCUUUAAAGCUCUGUUUUUGAUUAGCAUUAACAUCCUGAAAGAUCGAGACUUUGCAACCCUUCAAAUCUAAAAUCUCAUUUCUAAGAAAGUUAAGAAAUUCACCGGAGAGAUUUGAUUGACGACCAGCCGGAGACAACGACGAUGAAAGCGCCUCACCUCCGAUACAUUUCUCCGACUAUCAGAUAAUA